rnacentral:rRNA from 1 species
AAGGCAAUGAUCCGUAGCCGCCCUGAGAGGGUAAUCGCCCCCCUUGGGAUUGAGCCCCGGCCCAAAUUCUUCCGGGAGGCAGCAGUAGGGAUUUUUCCCCAAUGGACGAAAUUUUGAGGGAGCAACCCCCCGGGAGUGAAAAAGGGUUUCGGUUCGUAAAAUUCUGUUGUUAAAAAAGACCAUGUGUAAGAGUAUAAGUUCACACCUUGACGGUAUUUAACCAGAAAGCCACGGCUAACUACGUGCCAGCAGCCGCGGUAAUACGUAGGUGGCAAGCGUUAUCCGGAAUUAUUGGGCGUAAAGCGAGCGCAGGCGGUUUUUUAAGUCUGAUGUGAAAGCCCUCGGCUCAACCGUGGAAGGUCAUUGGAAACUGGGAGACUUGAGUUCGGGAGAGGACAGUGACUCCAGUGUAGCGGUG